rnacentral:lncRNA from 1 species
GGCAGUGUCCCUCGAUUCAGAACAAACUUCUGAUAAGAGCCUCUCAGAGCAGAGUGCCUGUCGCCCAGCACCACUCAGCAAGUUUCAGCAGGGAGCUGGGACGUGUUUUUGCCAUUAUUCUUGGUGGGAUACUCGCUCCCAGGCUUUUGCACAGUGCUCACUUGCUGUUGUCAUUGUUGCUUUCGCUCUUAGUGCCGCUGGCAGCUUCCUCAGCUUUCACGGGGCUCCCAUCAGUCUGUCUGGCUUUGUUUUGCGUUUCUUCUAAAUACUGCUGCACAGCCUUGAGCACUGCAUUCUCCACCAGCCUUUUGCUGAGGCUCACGAGCUCUGCGUCAUCCGGCUCUGCUGCGUGCUUUUCACUGAUCUUCUCCUCGCCUCUCGAGAAGGGGAAGCAGCAGAGCUGCCCCAUGGCAGCAGCCACGCAGCGCUCCCCGCGCCCCUCUGCCUGCCGCGAGCUCGGCUGGGCGCGGACCGCAGAAAGCUCCGCCGCCUCCCGCCCGCUCAGCUCCCGCUGCCGGCGGCCGCGGCGCGGGGUGGGCGGAGGCUCCCUCGCC